UCCAGACUCCUACGGGAGGCAGCAGUGGGGAAUAUUGCACAAUGGGCGCAAGCCUGAUGCAGCCAUGCCGCGUGUAUGAAGAAGGCCUUCGGGUUGUAAAGUACUUUCAGCGGGGAGGAAGGUGUUGUGGUUAAUAACCACAGCAAUUGACGUUACCCGCAGAAGAAGCACCGGCUAACUCCGUGCCAGCAGCCGCGGUAAUACGGAGGGUGCAAGCGUUAAUCGGAAUUACUGGGCGUAAAGCGCACGCAGGCGGUCUGUCAAGUCGGAGGUGAAAUCCCCGGGCUCAACCUGGGAACUGCAUUCGAGACUGGCAGGCUGGAGUCUUGUAGAGGGGGGUAGAAUUCCAGGUGUAGCGGUGAAAUGCGUAGAGAUCUGGAGGAAUACCGGUGGCGAAGGCGGCCCCCUGGACAAAGACUGACGCUCAGGUGCGAAAGCGUGGGGAGCAAACAGGAUUAGAUACCCGUGUAA
rnacentral:rRNA from 1 species